rnacentral:rRNA from 1 species
UACGUAGGGUGCGAGCGUUGUCCGGAAUUACUGGGCGUAAAGCGUGCGCAGGCGGUCUGUUAAGACCGAUGUGAAAUCCCCGGGCUUAACCUGGGAACUGCAUUGGUGACUGGCAGGCUUUGAGUGUGGCAGAGGGAGGUAGAAUUCCACGUGUAGCAGUGAAAUGCGUAGAGAUGUGGAGGAAUACCGAUGGCGAAGGCAGCCUCCUGGGCCAACACUGACGCUCAUGCACGAAAGCGUGGGGAGCAAACAGG